UGGUCGGGAUAGCUCAGCUGGUAGAGCAGAGGACUGAA
rnacentral:tRNA from 1 species